GGUCCACUAGCUCAACUGGCAGAGCAACUGACUCUUAAUCAGUGGGUUCGGGGUUCGAGUCCCCGGUGGAUCA
rnacentral:tRNA from 2 species